GAAAAUUUGUGGCGAGAGGUUAAAGUGGCUCUUAGAGGAAAAAAUCCAACAAAUAAAGAUGCCCUUUGGAAACUAGUGAACGACGCAUGGGAGCAAAUAUCAGCUGCUAAGUGCCUGAAUCUAGUGGAUUCGAUGCCCAGGCGUUGCUCAGCAGUUAUAAAAAAUAAAGCAUACUUCACUAAAUAUUGAAGUCAUGAGAUACGACUGAAAUUGAAUAAUUACCUUUGGCUCUAUUUCAAGUCACAGCCGAAAUAAGAAAUACCAAUGAAUUUUAAAUUUUUUCGUUUAUGUUUUAGACUUAAGCUGUUUAAUUUGUUUUUUAAUAUACGUCUCAUAGGUUGUUCUUUUUUACCUAUUAAAGAAAUAAAUGAAAAAAGUGAAUUUUUA